UUUCUAACCUUAUGCAAUAUUUGAACUUGUUAUAGUAACAGUAUCCAAUGAUGUACUUGGCUCAUCAUUAGAGUUCUCACAGCUAUGAAUCUCCAUUGAUGUUUCAAGCGGAAGUUGAUGGAAUGGCUUAGGAGGCAUAUCAAGGAGUUCAACAUCAGAUUCAAGCAUCUUCAAAACUUUACUCAUUGAAGGACGAUCAAAAGGCAGUAAUUGUAUACACCAAAAGGCUGUUAUUACCAUUUUCUUUACCAUUGCUUUUUCAUCGUCAGAAACAUCUCCCAACUCCAAGUCCUCUCCUUGAUCUAAUCGGUCAUAAAUCCAAGAUGGAAAAUAGAUCUGACUAGUGUGGUCAGCAAAUGCAUUCACAUUCUUUCUCCUUCCAACCAUUUCCAUCAGUAACAUUCCAAAACUAUAAACAUCAGCUUUGUAUGAGAUGCCUCCAAGAUUUUUGUAAACCAAUUCUGGAGCAAUAUAUCCUAUCGUUCCUCGUGCCGCAGUGAGAGAGACAAUGCUAUCAUCUACUGAAUACAAUUUAGCAAGACCAAAAUCGGAAACUUUUGGAUUAAAAUUCUCAUCAAGAAGAAUAUUGUGUGGCUUGAUAUCAAAAUGUAGAAUUUGCAUGUCACAUCCUUGAUGUAAGUAGUGAAUUCCUUGAGCCACCCCAAGUACAAUAUCAAACAUUUUUUUCCAGCCCAAAGUGUUCUUAUUUUCUUCUGUAAAUAUGAUUUUAUCUAAAGAUCCAUUAGACAUGAAGUCAUAUACUAGAGCUUGCUUUGAUCCCUCCACACAAAAUCCGAUAAGUUUUGCCACAUUAGCAUGAUGAAUUGUCCCAAUGGAAGCAACUUCGUUUAUGAAAUCUUGGCCAUUACCUUUUGAUUUGCCCAACAAUUUUAUUGCCACAUGAUGGCCGCUACGAAGCUUUCCUUUAAACACUGAGCCAUAACCCCCUUCACCUAAUUUAUCUUUAAAAUUUUUAGUCAUUUUUUUAAUUUCUUUAAAAGAAUACCUUAAUGGCACUAGAUUAUUUUGGCUUUUAAGGAACUCUUCGAUCAUAUCAUCCAUGGAUAAAUGUCUUCUCCUCCAUUUGUACGUGACAAAAGCAAGCAAACAAAUGAUCCCAGGAAAUGACCUCAAGAUAACUCCACCUUUAAAGAAAUACAAUGUAACAUGUUGAAAUUAAUCACAUAAUAUAUAACUUACAUUCUCAGAAAAAAGGAUAUAGUGUGAUAGUUUUAUGUUAACUAGUAUUUGAGAGAGUGGCAUAUUUCACUAGUCUAUGGACUUAACCGAGAGUAGUCUGAAUUAUAUGCAUUGUUUUUGUCAUUAGCAGGUAUAUCUCAACAAAUUAAAAUUCAGAAUUUGAAACACAAAAGGAGUAAAUCAUGCAAAGUGGAUGCCAAUUAUUCUAACCUCACACAUUCCAAUAGAUUUGACAGGGUCAUGACAUUCACCCAAAUUAACACAUUCGUAACCCCAUCCAAUUAGCAAAUUCUAAAGAAAGAACAUGAUUCUUAACCAUGAAGGAUACUCAACUGUUGUUUCUAUUCAUGCCAAAUAAAAUUGAAGAAGGACAAAUUAAAAAUAUAAUAACCUUCAAAUUUCAUAAAUGAAACAAAAUCUAGAACCACCAAAAGAUGCAAGAGAACCCCCCAAAAAACAGAUUUGAUAAAUUCAAGAGCUAACUUUGUUGAAUGUUUUAGCAAAAUGAAUAUCCACCAAACUUAUAACCUGUGAAAGUUCUAAACAAUACCAUUAUGAAAACAAGCUUAACUAAAACUCUAACAUCUUUCUUAACUUGACAAAAAAUUUCUUUCAUAUAGAAGAAGAUUGUAUUCUGCAUUCAAACUCCGUAAAGAGUGUCAUAGCUUUCUUAGUUUUGUAGUGAAAUUAAAUAUAAACUUGUAUAAUAUGAUAGGCUCCUUAUUCUUUUUUUCCCCCAGAAUAUAGCUAAUAUUUGUUCUCAACUAGUGCAAAUGCAAAUCUGCAAAUCUAAAAUUAAAUAUACCUGUUAUUAGCAAACAGAGACGAUAAGCUCCGAAGAAUCUGGAUUAUAUAUUCAACAAAUCAAAGUAAAAUUAAUAAAGGGGUGUAAAGAAAAAUUCCAAAUUUGUAUAAAAAAAUCAAUGGAAGGUAAUUUAAAAAAUUAUAUUAUGUUUUGUGGUAUAUACUCAAAAAAGAAAUACAACAAUUCUUUACAUAUGUUUGCUUGUAAAAAGUAUGCAACAUGUGUUACAGUAUAAGAGUUUUUAGGUAACUAAUAUGAUUUAAUAUAAUGAAAGGUGAGACAAAAUUUAUUCAAAUUAAUUAAUCCAAAAAGUAUAUAUUAUAGCAUUAAAAGAGUUUUUGCCAAAAAAAAUAAACUCAUCCACAAUGGUGGAAUAUUUACGUACUACCAACUAAAUUGAAAAUUCAUCAAAAAUAAAGACAAAAUAAAAAGAUAGACAUAAUCAAAUAUAAUUGUCCAAAAAGAAGACAAAACAGCAGAGAAAGCAGAGGCAGAUACUAAAUUAGAAAUGCUUUUAGUUCAUUUGAUUGUUAGAUGUUGAUCAAUUUUAGAUGCAAAAUCAUCAUACUUAAUUACCAUCAUAAUAUUUAAUUGUGAUAAAUGUAACAUAAAAUAAAACAAAACAAAAAGUAGAUGUUGUAACUAAAAAUUCCAGUAUGAUUCACACUCAAAAUGCAAACUUAAAUUAUUAAAGAAACUUACAUAUCUUUAAACCAAACUUUGUUUUUAUUGUAGUAGCUACUCUCGCUAUCCCAUCAACUCCAUUGGACCCAAAAACCCUCCAAUAAUUUUUUGUAUAUAUCCAGCGUAGACAUGCCUAUUAUAUUAUCAAUCAUAAUUGGAACCUCCGCUUUGAUAGUGCAAGCUUGAUUGAUAUCAGAUGGGUGGGUGUUUCCAUUUAAAAAAUAGAAAUAGAAAGUUGGAAGGGAAGAGGAGGUAUUAGAUUUAAUCGUACAACAAGAAGCCUCAAUAAAAAGUGAUGAUUUUAUAGGUUUCGUGCAAUUCAUAACAUAAAUAAUGUUAAAAUUAUAAGAAAAAUAAUAAUGAUAAUUAGAAAAAAGGUAAAAAUAUGGUUUAAAAUAAGGAUAAGUAUCAUAAUAAUCAGGAUAUACAGAAGUAAGAGGAAGGGAGUUGCAAUCAUCCGUGUCCAAGCUUGCAUCCACCAUUCGUAUUGUAUAAUUUUCGUAAAAGAUUUGUUGGACAGAUAAUUUCCCUCCUCUCCCAACCAAAGUGGUGCGAUUAUUGUUCUCACACUCAAGUUCCAUGACAGGAGAACCACAGUGGGGAGGUUGGUUUUUUAAUCGGAAUGGAAAACUGAUAUUCAAAUUCCCACAGAAAGUAGAGCCGCAGUCUUGGUUAAUAAGACUCCUAGCAAAACAAACAGCAGGAAAUAGAAUUACAAAUAAAGCAACAGAGGGCAUUAGGUGACCCAACAAUGGCAGUUUUGCUUUUAAUUUUGGCAUGCUAAAAUUUUGGGUAAGGAAGAAGAACAGUAAUGGGGGGUUAAUGAUUAAGUUUCUAACUAAACCAGGGAAAUAUAUAAGAAAGCUUCAGUGGGAGAAGAAGCAUUAAUGGGGACACAAGACUUUGACUACUCUUCAGCUUUAUUUGGGAUGAAUAUUUUAUUUUCAAUAAAUUGUUUACACCUUUUAUUCUUUAAUCUUUUUUCUGGGAAGAGCCAUGGUUAUCACAAGCAAAAGAAAAAGGAAUUUUAAUAUUAUUCAAAAAAAAAAAAAAUUGGACCAUAUGCUUGUAGUCGUAGAUCAACGUUUAUGACCUUAAUAAAUUCCAAUUACAAUGAGGAGGACCAAGACAAUGCAAGUCUUUAGUCUUCUUUGAAACACAAAAACAUUUGUUGCAUCUUUUGUAACUAUUUGUUGCAUCAUUCUAAAAAGUAAGUUAAUAGUUAGAAGUGUCAAGCAAGGCGACUCAAUGCCCAAUUGUAUAGAUUCUUUUUAUUUUAUUCCACGAAUACUUCACUACUUUUCAAAUAAUUACAUGAAUUUAAAAUAAAACAAAUUAAAUAUAAGAUAUAAUUUCUAUUUAUUUAAGUUUAAAUUCAAAACUAAAUUCUAUUUCUAAAUUUUAAUUAUCCAAAAUUAAUUUAAAAACUUAAAUUUAAAAAUACAUUAAGAGACUUCAAAUUCCGUUUUAUUUUAAAUGAAAUCGGUUUAGUAAAGAGGUGACUAUGGAUCAAGUCAAGCCGAAUCGAAGUUCAGUUUCAAAAAAUUCCAAGUCCUAGAGCCUAUUUUUGAUCCAACUCACCCAAAAGCUCGUUUUCUAUUUGAAAAUAUUAAAAAUAUUUUUAAUUGAUAUUUUACAUAUUUUUAUAAUUAAAUUUAAAUUUUAAUAAAAAUUAUUAUUUAAAUUAAACUAUAAAAAUAUUUAUCCAAAUCUGACCCAAAUCGAAUUAGGCCGGGUGGGCGAUCCGAUCAUGACAGGAAAGGAGAAACAAGAAAGACGAAGCCUAAACAGGCAGUAAAUUCAUUUUAAUUCUACAUACAUUCCAUAUUAUUAUUUAGGGAUAAUAUAGUUUUUGACCCUAAUCUUGAUAGUUAAGUGGACUUUAGUACAUAUAUCUUUUUUGUUCUACUUUGACACUCGAACUUCAAAUAUUUUGGUUCCUAAACUUGAAAAAUAUAAAAGUUUUAUGAUGCAACUCUGUAAGAUUGUGUUACAUCAUCACUUAAAAAUUAAAAAAAUAUAUAAAUAUUUUUAAUUAAUAUUUUAUAUAUCUCUAUAAUUAAAUUUAAAUUUAAAAAAUAUUUUUUAUUAUUUAAAUUCAACUCAGAUUAAAUCAAAAUAAAAUGUAAAAAUACUUAUUCAAAUCUGACCCAAAUUGAGUUGGGCCGGGCAGGCUACCCAGUCAUCUCAAGUCUACUUUAGCACAGGUAAGUAAAGUUGAAUCAUUAGAUUGGGAUAUAUGUGUGCUUCGGGUAAAUACUUAUUUGGGCUGAAUUAUUUGGACUUCAAUUAUGAAUUUAAUUUUUUACUAAUAUGUGUGAGAAGCCCAUUCUUUUAUGAAUUUUGGGCCACUUCGGUUUCGUCUUCAGGAAUUAAACAUUCAUAAAAAUCUAAAAAAAUUUAUUAAAUUAUUAUUUAUUAAUUAAACCAGUUGAUUAUUCAAUCGGUUUGACCACUAGUUCUUGAUUCAACUCAUUUGAUCGGUUCAACUACCCAACUAACAAUAAUUAAAUGAAUGAUUCAACAUCCAUAAAAAUCUAAAAAAGAAUAUUAAAUCGAUUACAUAUGUUCAAUAGCCAAGUUUUUUUUUUACUAAUUUCAAACAAUUUUUUUAAUUUAAUUGAUUCAACCAUUUUGUUCAAACUAGGGUGUUCGCAAAAGUCUCGACUCUCCUAAAAUGGAAAAGUUUUUAUUUAAGUCAUUUAAAAUUUUUAAAAUUUUAAAUUAAUAAAGGUAAAUUACACUUUGGCCCCAUAAAAAUAUAAAAAUUUGAUUUAAUCCUUUAAAAAUUAUAAAGAUAUAGGCUAUUAAAAUGGUGAAAUUAUAUUUUUACUUCGUAAAAAUUACAAUUUAAUUUCGACUCCCUUUUUUUUUUUUGAUUUCGCCCCUAAUUCAAACCAUUAUACCGGUUGGUUCUUAGUCCAAUCAAUCCAACCAACCAAUCCACUACUAUUUCAGUAAAAUUGGUCAUAUCAUCAAAUCUUGAUAGAAUCCAAAUUUAAAGGACCAAAAUAGAUCUAAUUGUCAAACUCAAAUACCAAAAUGGAUCUAACUUAAAAGCAAUAUUGAAACAUGUCUUUCUUGUUUUCUCCGUCUCUUAAAACCCCCUGACCUUUGUUUUUUUUUUUUUUUAGUCUUUGAGUUCCUUAGAGAGUUGGUUCAUAUUUUAGGAUAUUGUUUCAUGCUUUUGGCUUGCGAGUUCUUUGUAUUGUAAUGGUAUUUUUUGUAUUAGUGUGAGGAGUAUUGUGGUGUUAUUUUGCUAUCCAUUGAUUCGUUUUGGGUGAAGGUUUUAUUUUGAGCCUUUGUGUUUGUAUGGGAUACCUUAUCUUCGAGUUCUGGGUUUUUCUUUAAUAUAUUUCUAUCGGUUCGAAAAAGAUGGAAGUCUAGAUUUGAUUUGGAGAUAAAAUUGUGUUUUAAUUUUUGUGUACUUUCCUGAUUUUUCUAAAUAAUAUUUUUUUCUGCUUCAAUCCAACUACAAUACUUGCAUUAUAAACAACUAUUUCAUUGAAUUUCUUUUUUAUUUUAAAAAUACUUUUUAAACUGUUUUUUUUCUAGAGAUUCUCUAAAAUUUUCUAUUAAAAACUUUAUAUAUUUGGUAAAAGGAUUAAAGAAGUUCCUGUACUUAGUGAUGGAUUGCAUUUCAACCCUUUUAUCGAAAAAAAUUGACAAAUUAAUUUUUAUACAUUUCAAAACAUACAAAUUUGUCGCUUCGUUAAAAUUUUUCUACAUUUUAACCUAUUCAUCAUUUCCUUUGCAGAAAAAUAGUUGAUAUACCAUUAGAACAUGAGCCUCAAACAUUAUAAAUGAAUAAUAAUACCUCGGUCUAUGAAGAAGUUAUGUUACAUUUGAUGGAAUAUCAAAGGAAAAUUUUUCGUUUAUUUUAAAAAGAUUUUAUUCAAUUUUCUAAUUGUAUAUAUAAUUGAUAUUAAUUAUUUUUUAUUUUAAGUUUAAUUAUUUUAAAACAUAUUUAUUAAAUAACUUUUUUUGGUGUUAUUAAUUAAACAUCAAAUGCAGCAUUAAUAUUGUAAGUCUUCCGUUAUUUAAUAUUUAAAUAAUAUGAAAUUGAACAUUUAAACGUAAAAUAUAAAAUUAUUCUUAAUAAUUUAUAAUAAAGGGAAUAAUAAAACAGAUGAUUAGAUGAAAUCAAGAAUCAGGUUAAAUUCACACCUGACCAUGGAAAUAUUUGUGUCGAUAUGAUUUAUAAACAGGGUUUAGCCAUGAUACUUUUCUGUGAGAGGCAAAAUCAAAAUUUUUCUUUUCACUUAAAAACUUAAUAUUUUAAUUUUUCCUCAAUUUUGUCCAUUCAAACAUGUUAAGACUGUAUGGUUUGAUUUACCUGUUGGUACGUAAGCUUAUUCAUGCAAAAGUGUCCUUUUAUCAAUUAAAAAGAACAGCAAUAAGGUAAAACGUCAGUUUUUAAUAGAGUCUGACUGCGUCGUCGGCAAAUGAGUGUAGAAUCUUUUACGGUAAGCAAAAGCAUGCUAUCCUAUUUUCCUCCAAUAGCAUAUUUAUUUAUCAUUAAUAAUUACUUUCAUUUUAAUUGUAAUAAAAAUUUAUGACAUAAUUCAUCGUUUACAAACACCAUCUUCAUAUAAUAUUUAAAUUUUCUUUUAGAUAAUUUAUGAUUAUAAUUCUUGAACACAUAUGACAUAAUGGAUGAUUAUUUGGUAUAGCUGAUAGUAAAUUUUUAAUUUCAUAAAUAGAUUUGAAAGUUUGAUAUAUAUUUUAAGUUGUAUUUAAAAAAAAUAGGAUAUAUGAAAAUUUUUCAAUCUCGCUUAUUGAGUUAAUUAAUAAUCCAUAAAAAAAUAUUACUUUGUAUGUUUUAAUUCUUAAUUAAUUUUAGAUAUUUGACUUCUAUUAAUUUAAAUGUUUUAAUGUUUUUUUUGAAUUAAAAAAAGUGUGUAUUUAAUUCUUCAUAAAACAAAUUAUUUGUAAAUAAUCAUAAAUCGGUAUAAGAAGAUCAAACCUAAUAUAUCAAAGCAACUAAUAGCGGAUUGAUUGUUUGAUUUCAAAUGUUUAAAUUUGAUAAUCAAUCAAUUUAAAGAUACAAUGAGAUGUAAUUUUGUAAAUUAGAUAUCUCAAUCUUAGUAUUAAAUGAUUGAUGACUCUAAGCUACUUAAAAACAAGAAGACAAUCAAUCUUCACUUUAAUUUAUAUGAUCCAAAGUUCUUAACACCAUUUCAAAGAACCGUUCAGAAAUUAUAGAUACAAGAUCUAAUCAAAACAUCAAGUAACGGCCAAAUCAAAACCCACCAAAGAGAUAUCCAAAGUCUCAAAUCUGGAAUUAAAGGUCAACGUAACCACAUCAUACAAAGAAAUGCUCCCACCACUCCACUUCGGGACAUGUACAAAAUCUGAUUUCUUCGAUCACUACUUGAAAGAGUUGAUAAUUCUCAUAUUUAGAAUUAUUUUAAUUUAGUUUUUAUAGUAUUUUAGGAGUAAAAUCUUUUUUAUUAUAGUUUAUAGUUUUUGAAAUUAAUUAGAUUUUAUUUAAUUUUCCGGAUUUAUUAGCUAUAUUUUUCUCCAUUGUAAAUUUGAGAUAAAAAAAAUGAAAGAGUUGAAAUAUAAAGUAAGAAAGGAUGAAAUCUUCUACUCCACUUGAUCAACUUUACAGUGAACAUAUUUUUAAAUUCAGAAAUUUUGAUAGCAAUUAUUCCUUCUACCAUAAUUUUUUAUUUGGUGGAGCUCCUAAUAAAAGUCAAAAAGAAAAAAAAAGUAUGGGUUUGACCAAUAUUUUAUGGUUCAUUUUUUAUAUAUUUACUCUAAUCUCUGUUUCUAAAAAAUAUCUUAAAACAUUGAAAAAAUAUAUAGUUUAAUUAGCAACAAAUACGCGUUUUUUAUUCUCAAAUUAUUGGUCCAAUCGGUUGAUUUAGUUAGAGAUUCAAAUAUUAUUUAUGAUUUUAAUAUAAAAUAUGAGAAAUGAUGUUCACAUUUCAAAUGAUGUUCAAAUUGAUGGAAACAGUCAAAAAAGAAAAAAUCCUGAGAUGUCAAGUUUACAUUUUAAAACUGGAAGAAAGAAAUCCUCAAAGCAAAUUGGAGGGGCUGCAAGAUUGUCCAGUCAAAUAGAAAAACUAUGCAAUGCAGCUGACAAUAUGAGUCAAGCCACAUCUAGUUUGACUCCUGUUAUGGAUCCAUAUGGUAUUCCACAAGCAGUCAAAAUGCUUGACAGCAUGUCGGAAGAAGUUCCAGAAGCUAGUCCGCUAUACUUUUUCGCACUUAGAUUAUUGCUCAAUAAGGACAAGCGAAUUAUGUUUUUAUCAAUUAAUCCUAAUAUUAGAGCUUUGUGGCUUAAGACGGAAAUGGAGGAUAGUUGAAAAUUUUUUGAUCUUCUAGGGUUUAAAGAUAUCUAUUUAUGUGUAAUCUUCUAGUUAUAAUGGCUUAAGCGAAUUAUGUUUUUAUCAAUAGUUAUUUAUGUUUAGUUUUUGGAUAUUGAAUUUAUGUGCGAAUUAUGCUUUUGGAUAUUGAAUUUAUGUGUAAUCAAUUAUGUUUUAUUAAUAGUUGUUUAUGUUUGGUCUUUAGAUAUUGAAUUUAUGUUCCACUUAUUUUUUAUUAAAUUAAUUUUAUUAAUGGUUGUUUAUAUGUGAUUUUGGAUAUAAAAUUUAUUCACAGGUGAUGAGUAUAGUUGAGGAUUAUAGCAGUGAUGAAAGUGAUGAUCAAAGGGAAAAGAAAGAGAUGUUACAACGCAUGGAAUGUUUUAACCGAAUAUUUGUUGUUGCAUCUUCUUCCAUGCAAUUAUAUUACGAGAAGUAUAUAUUGAGGCAACCAUGCAUGGAUUCAAAACAGUCAGGUGAGACAUGGAUCCGAGAGAUCCUUGACGGUCACGAAUCACGUUGUAUGAUUAAUUUUAAGAUGUCUAAAAUGGUAUUCACAAGUUUGUUGAGAGUUUUGGAGACAAGAUACAACUUGCAAACUUCAAGAAACAUAUCUUCUACUGAAAUGUUGGGAAUUUUUUUAUACAUCUUGGGCACCGGUGCAAAAGUUUCCCAAUGUCGAGAAAGAUUUCAAAGGUCUGGAUCAACAAUAAGUCGAUACUUUGCAGUUGUGCUUGAGAAAGUUUCAAGGAUGGCCAUUGAUCUAAUUGCACCUGAAGAUCCUUUUUUUAGCUCAAUACCCGAACAAAUACAUAAUGAUUCUAGAUAUAUGCCGCAUUUUAAGGUUAAAAUUUAAUUUCAUAUUAUUAUAUUUUAAUAUAUUUGGUCGACUAAAAAUAUGCACGAGAGUAAUAUGAUUAUUUGUUCAGGAUUGUAUAGGUGCAAUUGAUGGUACUCACAUUGCGGCUAUUCUUCCACCAAAUGAACAAAUUCCCUAUAUUGGAAGAAAAGGUAUCCCGACUCAAAAUGUUAUGGCAGUAUGUGAUUUUAAUAUGUGUUUCACAUUUGUCAUGGCUGGAUGGGAAGGAUCGACACAUGACACUAGAAUAUUUCUUGAUGCAAUUCGAGAUCUAAAAUACAAAUUUCCGCACCCUCCAAAUGGUUAGAUAUUUUAUUUAUAUGUGAUUUUUUAAAUAAUAAAGUAAGUUCUUUAAUUGAUUUUUUAUUAAAAAAAUUCUUGAAUUAAUUGUUUGUUAUAUUAUGACUUGUAGAAAAAUAUUAUCUUGUUGAUUCUGGAUAUCCUCAAAUGAAAGGUUAUCUUGGACCAUAUAGAGGUCAACGAUAUCAUUUACCUGACUUCCGAAGAGGUAGACCGAUUUCUGGUAAAGAAGAGAUAUUCAAUCAUUCACAUUCAUCAUUACGUAGUGUGAUUUAACAAACUUUUGGUGUUUUAAAAAAAAUGGGCCAUUUUAAGGGAUAUGCCAAGUUAUAGUUUUGAAAAGCAAACGGUGAUCGUUGUUGCUAUAAUGACGAUACACAAUUUUAUCCGAAAACAUGUUGGUCAAAAUGAUGUAGAUUUUAUGGAAUACGAAGAUAUUAACUCGGCAUAUGAGAAUAGUAUUGAUUCAGAAAAUGCGCAUGGGCCACAAAGUGAUGAUGAUGACGACGACGACGACGAUGAUAGUAAUGAUGAUGGUGAAUCAAACAUUUUUAGUGGUUUUGAAAUGGAAUUAACAAGAGAUGCUAUAGUUUCUAGUUUAAUGAAUUCAAUUUAAAUUGUAAAUGCUAUUGUAAAAUUUUUAGUAUUUAUAUCUGAUAUAUAAAUAUUAUCCCCUUUUUAAAACUUCAAUCCAAAUAUAUCUAAUAUUUUAAUUUGUUAAGUUUAUGUUUUCUAUGUUAUAUUAAUAUCUAAUAUGAGUUAUAUAUUCAAAUAUAUUUUAAAAUAAAAUAAUACAAGCGUGUUAAAAGUAUUAAUUAAAAAUAAAAAAUAAUUUUUAUAAUAAUACAAUCGUGUCAAUAUCUAAUUACAAAUAUUUAAAUAUUUAAAUAUAGUUUAUAUAUUCUAAUUAAAUUUUAUAAAUAAUUAAUAUUAAUUACUUAGAAAUAUUUAAAAUUAAUAUUAUAUAUUAAAAUAUUAACAAUAAGUUAUAAUAAAUUAUUUUUUUAUAUUUUUGCUAAAAUAUCAUAAUAUUAACUAAUUUGAACAUUAUUUAAAAACAUAUUUGUUACUUUAUAAUCUCAUGUCUAAAAUGGACAUUUUAUUCUUCAAAAAUACUUUUUAACACUAAUAGCAAACACUCAAAUUUUUCAAAAGCACUUCUUAAAAAUAAUUCUCAAAAGCAUUUCUCAAAAGUAACGAAAAACUAGCCCUUAACGCCCCGUUCUUCUGCACGUUUUAGAAGUGCUUUUGGCUGAAAAAUCCUUUUCCUUUAAAAGGAAUGAAGAACAGCCUCCUUUUCUUCUGAAAAUUUCACCAUCAGAAAAGGACUUCUCUCCAGAUGAAAAGUUAAAAUUUCUCUUUUUUUUCAGCUUAAAGUGCUUUUGGCUGAAAAUUGACCAAAUUAACCUAUCGUCUUCUCCCACAAACUUUCUUUCCCCUCCUCUGCUGGUUCUUUGGAACUGUCUUCUCCCACAAACGUGCUUUUGGCUGAAAAGAACAGAAAUUUGAUUUCUCAAAUUUUUCCACAAACGUGCUUUGGAACUGUCUUCUCCCACAAACGCUCUCCCACUCCCGCGACGGGGCGCUGUCAAUCGGCUGUGCUUCAGGGUCGAAGGAAGCAUAUGGAAGGUCUCACUGUCUGCAUGCUCGAUCUCCACAUUCCCUUCCCGAGUAUCUCUCUUUCUUCAUAUCUUUUUUUUUGUGCGGCUUCGUGGUUUUAUUAGAAUGCGUUCAUAGGGGAAUUAGUCUUACGAUUAAUAUUUUCUCUUGUAAAAAGGAUAAAUUGAUGUUGCAAUUUAAUGACAGUUUUUAUGCUAUGGAUUGAGAAUGAGAUUCUAGGGUUUUUCAUUGAAUGAAUUUGCUUUUGGUUGUUUUAUUAACAAACUUCAUCGCUUCGCUUAAGAAAAAAAAAAUCCUUCUUUUAAGAUUGAAUUUAUGAAGUUUUAUCGGUUAAUUAAAUGCUUAGCUCUUUUCUAAUGACUGUAACCAAUGUAGCAAUGAUAUUAAAGAAGGUUUAGUUAUAAAAGUGGAGAGAUAUUAUGCUAAACCGAACUACUAACUUCAAUAGUUUACUUCUUAGUGUUCUUAUAGAGGCAAUUUUGUUUGAAAAGGAUCUUUCUAAACAAUGUAAGAUUUGGUAUUUUUGCUUAUUUUGUGAUGGUUGAAGAAGUUUGUGCGUAUCACUGAUUUAAUAACUUUGUCUAACGUCUCAUCCUAUGUUUUAUUUUUAAUACAUAAAUUUUUGAUACAUUGGAGCAGGCAAAAUUGGGGUUAAGGAAGUUUCAGUCGGAGUUGUUGCAGUUUUUGAUGGUCAUAAUGGUGCUGAAGCUAGUGAGAUGGCUUCAAAACUUUUACUGGAGUAUUUUGCUCUAUAUACAUAUUUCCUUUUGGAUGCAACUUUUUCCUUUGUAUUGAAGAAGCAGUCAAGUAGGUUGCCAAAUGUAGGAGAAGGGGAUAUUGUUUUCUGUUGCGGAAAGGAUCGAUUCGAGAACUCCGAUAUGACUACAAGUAAAUUGACCGAAACGAAAAAUAAAGUGAACACAAGGAUUUACGUGGUUCGGCUUUAAUGCCUACGUCCACGGGCAGAGGCGAAAAGAAAUUUCACUAUAACAAGAUGAAGAUUACAAGUGUUUUACACUCAAGACACAACCCGAGAACCUCACAACUCUCAACCCCUAUAGAAAACCCGAAAGCUAAAAUCCUAGCUUUCAAAGAACAAGCUUUGCUCUCUCUUGGUUUGGGAUGAUCAAUAUGGCUAAUGAACCUCUCUAUUUAUAAGAGAGUUCAAGGACAUAAUUGUCCAAAACUUUGGCAAAGAUUUGUGGUUGAAAAUGGACACCAACAACCAUCCACUAAUCCACUACCACCAACAACCCACUACCAACAACAACAAUCCACUACCAAUUUUAAGCCAUUUCUUAACAAAUCUCCACCUUGGCUUGAAAUUUACCAAGCUGAACAUCAUAGAAACUCCAAGCCAUUAUCCGUCCGGAAUCGCUUGAUCUUCUUUCCUGUUUGAUUUUCGAUCAAAGCUUUAAAUUGCUUGAAGUUGAUGAGAACCUCAUACUUGCUCUUCAGAAAAUACACCCAAACCUUUCUCGAGUAAUCAUCGAUAAAGGUAAGCAGAUAUCUGUAACCACCUUUAGAAAUUGUCGGAGAAGGCCCCCAAAGGUCAGAAUGGAAGUAAUCCACUGUGCCUUUUGUCUUGUGAAUCCCAGUGCUGAACUUUACCCGAGUCUGCUUACCGAAGACGCAGUGCUCACAGAAAUUCAACUUUCCUGUACACUGCCCAGACAAUAAUCCUCGUUUGCUUAGCACCGAUAAGCCUCUCUCGCUCAUAUGCCCGAGCCGCAUAUGCCAUAACUUCGUGGUGUCAGAAUCUAGAUCAUCUGAUGAUGACACUCCCGCAACACCUGUAACCGAGGAACCAUCGAGGAAGUAAAGGCCCCGCUCCAAAUUACCACGUAUCACAGUCAAAGCACCCGAGAAUACCUUGAGAACUCCACCUUCAGCAGAGUACCGAAAGCCUUUCUUGUCCAACGUACUCAAAGAGAUCAAAUUUUUCUUCAUUUCUGGAAUGUGCCGAACAUCAGUUAGAGUUCUAACAAUACCGUCAAACAUCUUUAUACGAACUGUGCCAAUCCCCAUGACUUGACAUGCGUGGUCAUUUCCCAUUAGUACUGAACCAGAAUGCUUCUCGUAUGUUGAGAAUGCAUCUUUCGAAGUACUUAUAUGAAAUGUAGCUCCCGUAUCAAGAAUCCAUCUCCCACCAGCGUAAGAGUCGGAUACUGCAAGAACGAUCUCGGCAUCACUUGAAGAAUCUGCAUCAGCUACAUUCGCACGAUCAUUUUGUUGCUCCUGUGAUUCUGAUUUCUCCUUCCUUUUCGGACAAUCUACCUUCAUGUGCCCGUACUUCUUACAGUAGUAGCACUGUAUUCUCUUCUUGGACUGCGAUCUAGGAUGGCUUUUACUUGAACUUCCACCCUUUGCCUUGGAUCUUCCUCGAGCAACCAAGCCUUCGCCUUCAUUGUUUUCGACCACCUUACCAGUGAUUUUCUUCCUCAACUCACUGGAACUUAAGGCAUUUUUCACCUCCUCUAGAGUCAGGUCAUCACGACCGUACAUCAUUGUAUCAACAAAAUUCUCAUACGAGGGAGGCAAAGAACACAAAACAAUUAUUGCUUGGUCCUCAUCAUCGAUUUUGUUAUCGAUAUUAUUCAAAUCCAUGAUAAUGGAAUUGAAUUUAUCCAGGUGCUGGGAAACAGGUGUACCUUCCUCCAUCUUCAGGGCAUAGAGUCUUUGCUUGAGGUAGAGCCGGUUCGUCAAUGACUUCGUCAUGUACUUGCUCUCUAACCGGAGCCACAAACCGGACGCGGUUUUCUCAUCCGCUACUUCUCGUAGCACUUCAUCUCCUAGACAUAGCAGAAUAGCACUAUGUGCUCUUUCUAGCAUGUCAUCCUUUUGCUCUUCCGAAAGCGUGCUUGGUAAUUUAUCUUUACCAGACAAUGCUUUUAGCAAUCCUUGUUGAACCAGCACUGCCCGCAUCUUGAUGCGCCAUAAACUGAAACUAUUUUUCCCGGUAAAUUUCUCGACAUCAUACUUAGUCGAUGAAACACUUGUAGCCAUAAUUUGGAACCUUUGAAUGAAUGAUAAUAUUUUCUUCCUGAUGUGAAAGAUCAGACAAAGCUGCAGUCACAGGGCAAUUCAGAAAAUAUUAUCACUCCUUCAACUACGCUCUGAUACCAAUUUGUUGCGGAAAGGAUCGAUUCGAGAACUCCGAUAUGACUACAAGUAAAUUGACCGAAACGAAAAAUAAAGUGAACACAAGGAUUUACGUGGUUCGGCUUUAAUGCCUACGUCCACGGGCAGAGGCGAAAAGAAAUUUCACUAUAACAAGAUGAAGAUUACAAGUGUUUUACACUCAAGACACAACCCGAGAACCUCACAACUCUCAACCCCUAUAGAAAACCCGAAAGCUAAAAUCCUAGCUUUCAAAGAACAAGCUUUGCUCUCUCUUGGUUUGGGAUGAUCAAUAUGGCUAAUGAACCUCUCUAUUUAUAAGAGAGUUCAAGGACAUAAUUGUCCAAAACUUUGGCAAAGAUUUGUGGUUGAAAAUGGACACCAACAACCAUCCACUAAUCCACUACCACCAACAACCCACUACCAACAACAACAAUCCACUACCAAUUUUAAGCCAUUUCUUAACAUUUUCCAAGUGCUUAAUUGGGACAAAGAGAUUGGAAAGCAUGGCUUGAACCUUGAAAGGUGAUAUCAUGUGUAACUCAGACCAUAUUUAUGUUUGAGUUCCUUGUUUUAGAAAAUGGAUAUAGCUGUUGCUUGCUGUUGACGAUUCUUAACCCAAAGUAUUAAUGCUUGCUCAGAUUAUUAACCCAAUGUUUAUUUCAUCAUCUUAAAGUUGCUUCCUGUUUGCUUCUACCUGCUAUUCAGCUGGUUGUGGGAAUUAGCCAUCCCUGGUGGAUUUCUCUGACAUUUUUCAUUGGAAGCUGUAUUAGGCUAGUGGAUUGGUCUUUGACUAGCAAUUUUCUAGGACUAUUCAGGUGAUUGCUUCUUGACUCUUUGUACAUUGUUCUAUUUCAUUUUCUUUGUCAAUGAAUUUGGUUUUAUCAUUGGUUAAUGUUUUUAGUAGCUUAUGUUCUGUUUCUUUUUUGUCAAGGUUGUGGAAGGCUCUCCAGUUUUAUGCAGGCUUCAGCAUUUUCAUGCUUUAUGUGUAUCAACUCCUUAUAGAGUUCUCAAGUAUGUUACAGUGGAUAGCUGAUUUUGUUGGUCUAUUCAAAAUAUGUUCAACAUCUGAGUGGACUGAAAUUUGCUCUUCUGUUUCUCUUGUACUUUAUUACAUCAUGGUAUGUACUAGUUUUAUUACUAUAGGUCUGAUUCUGUUUAAAGAUUUUAGCUGAACCUUUUAAUGAAAUGCAAUUCACUCUUCCCUCUUCCUAGAAUCUUAUAUUAUGAAAUUGACUUCAUUUGAGUCUUUCCUGUGUCUGACAUUUGUCUAUCUAAUAGUCUUUUCCCCAUAUUACUAAUUUAAGAUGGUUUGAAGUGUUUUCUUUCUAUAAGAAAAAUUUCCCGAACAGAUAUGAAGUAAUUAGUUGCAAACUAGACUUUGGAGAUUGAUGACAUUUUUGCCAUUCUGGAUGCAAUUUUUAUUCAAUUUGCUCAAUGAAAUUGCAAUUGAAAAUUUGAGAGCUUCCUAGUUAGAAACCACAUAUUUAUAUAAUAUAUGUUUUUAAUAGUUUUGAACAAGUUAAAUUAAUUAUAAAGAAAUAAUAUAAUUGAGAACAAGAUUAGAGCAGCUCGUUUGUACAUCUCAAUCUUAAUAUUAAGUGAUUGAUGACUCUAAGCUACUUAAAAACAAGAAGACAAUCAAUCUUCACUUUAAUUUGUAUGACGCAAAGUUUUUAAAACCAUUUCUAAGAACCGUUAAGAAAUAAUAGAUACAAGAUCUAAUCAAAACAUCAUGUAACGACCCAACCAAAACCCACCAAAGAGAUAUCCAAAAUCUCAAAUUUGGAAUUAAAGGUCAACGUAAACACAAAAUUCUCCAAAAGUAUUAUGAGUUCUAACCUUUUAAUGGGUAUAAUUUUUAAGGUUUUACAAUAGCCUAUUUACAUGCAAAAUUUGUAGCCCAAAUAAUAAUAAAAUAAUAUAAACUAAUCAAUGUUUAACUAAAAUAAAUAAAUAGAGUUUAGCUGAAAGAUUACCUCUCAAAUUUAAUCGAAAUAUGAGGCAAGGUAUCACUUCAAUGGUAUAAAGCUACAUAAAAUCUUAGUUAUGUCUUUGAAAUAUUUUCAUAAAGGCAUGUGCAAAAACUUUUUCAUUCUUAACAAAUUCAUUCCACUCAAUAUUAUUUAUUUAAAAUCAAAACCACAUUUAUUUUUAAACAACAUCUAAUAAUGUAUUUGGCUCAUCCAACAAUUUAUUUUUAAACGACAUUUAUUUAAAAAGAACCAAAUGAGAAUCAUUAUACAACUUCAUAAAGUCGAUGACACAUCCAACAUUUAAAGCACAAAGAAACUAGAUAGGCCAACAACAAAACAAUAAUGCCAACAUUCUCAAAUACGGCAACAAAUUUGUUCUAAAAACAAAAGUAAGCGCAUCGCACCUAGAGCGUAGAAAUACUUGAAUUCAAUCAUUGUAACAACGAAAAAGGAAACAAGACAUCCAACAUCCUCAUCACAAUAGAUUCUCCUUUGACCCGCCAACAGCGUUUGCAAUGCAAUAAAACAAAAAGAGGUUAUUGUGAUAGCAACUCUUAUAAAUAUUCCAAAAUUAACUUUUAGAUGCAUCAAGUCUUAAUCUAAGGGAAAGGGUUUAUCCAAACAUGAAAAAUCUAACCAACUCAAUUCAAUUCAACCCAACCUCAACCUAUCUAUAUAGUUUACUUUUAAUUUAUAUCUAAUUUCAAUUAUGGUUUAAAUUUAAAUAUUUUUUAACAAAAAUUUUAAAUACUUAAUAUUGAACAAAUAGCCAUAUUUAUGAAAAAAUUUGUAAUUAUGAACAUAACUUAACACAUAGGUAAAAGUAUUUUUUUUACUUAAUAAUAUUAUUAGCAAUAGUACGUUAUUAAUUGUAUAUGAAAAUAAUGAAGCUUAAAAAUUAAAAUUUAAAGACAAUGUCAUUGUCAAAUUUACUCAAUUUAUUUUUAACCAUAGUUACCUAUGUACAUAUGUGACACACAUAAUAAGAUGCUAAUAUAUAUAAGGCAAAAUAUUAUAAAGUUAAACGGUUAGAUAAUGAAGUGAAAUGUUUCUAACCUUAUGCAAUAUUUGAACUUGUUAUAGUAACAGUAUCCAAUGAUGUACUUGGCUCAUCAUUAGAGUUCUCACACCUAUGAACCUCCAUUGAUGUUUCAAGCGGCAGUUGAUGGAAUGGCUUAGGAGCCAUUUCAAGGAGUUCAACAUCAGAUUCAAGCAUCUUCAAAACUUUACUCAUUGAAGGACGAUCAGAAGGCAGUAAUUGUAUACACCAAAAGGCUGUUAUUACCAUUUUCUUUACCAUUGCUUUUUCAUCGUCAGAAACAUCUCCCAACUCCAAGUCAUCUCCUUGAUCUAAUCGGUCAUAAAUCCAAGAUGGAAAAUAUAUUUGACUAGUGUGGUCAGCAAAUGCAUUCACAUUCUUUCUCCUUCCAACUAUUUCCAUCAGUAACAUUCCAAAACUAUAAACAUCGGCUUUGUAUGAGAUGCCUCCAAGAUUUUUGUAAACCAAUUCAGGAGCAAUAUAUCCUAUCGUUCCUCGUGCCGCAGUGAGAGAGACAAUGCUAUUAUCUACUGAAUACAAUUUAGCAAGACCAAAAUCCGAAACUUUUGGAUUAAAAUUCUCAUCAAGAAGAAUAUUGUGUGGCUUGAUAUCAAAAUGUAGAAUUUGCAUGUCACAUCCUUGAUGUAAGUAGUGAAUUCCUUGAGCCACCCCAAGUACAAUAUCAAACAUUUUUUUCCAGCCCAAAGUGUUCUUAUUUUCUUCUGUAAAUAUGAUUUUAUCUAAAGAUCCAUUAGACAUGAAGUCAUAUACUAGAGCUUGCUUUGAUCCCUCCACACAAAAUCCGAUAAGUUUUGCCACAUUAGCAUGAUGAAUUGUCCCAAUGGAAGCAACUUCGUUUAUGAAAUCUUGGCCAUUACCUUUUGAUUUGCCCAACAAUUUUAUUGCCACAUGAUGGCCGCUACGAAGCUUUCCUUUAAACACUGAGCCAUAACCCCCUUCACCUAAUUUAUCUUUAAAAUUGUUAGUCAUUUUUUUAAUUUCUUUAAAAGAAUACCUUAAUGGCACUAGAUUAUUUUGGCUUUUAAGGAACUCUUCGAUCAUAUCAUCCAUGGAUAAAUGUCUUCUUCUCCAUUUGUACGUGACAAAAGCAAGCAAACAAAUGAUCCCAGGAAAUGACCUCAAGAUAACUCCACCUUUAAAGAAAUACAAUGUAACAUGUUGAAAUUAAUCACAUAAUAUAUAACUUACAUUCUCAGAAAAAAGGAUAUAGUGUGAUAGUUUUAUGUUAACUAGUAUUUGAGAGAGUGGCAUAUUUCACUAGUCUAUGGACUUAACCGAGAGUAGUCUGAAUUAUAUGCAUUGUUUUUGUCAUUAGCAGGUAUAUCUCAACAAAUUAAAAUUCAGAAUUUCAAACACAAAAGGAGUAAAUCGUGCAAAGUGGAUACCAAUUAUUCUAACCUCAAACAUUCCAAUAGAUUUGACAGGGUCAUGACAUUCAGCCAAAUUAACACAUUCGUAACCCCAUCCAAUUAGCAAAUUCUAAAGAAAGAACAUGAUUCUUAACCAUGAAGGAUACUCAACUGUUGUUUCUAUUCAUGCCAAAUAAACUUGAAGAAGGACAAAUUAAAAAUAUAAUAACCUUCAAAUUUCAUAAAUGAAACAAAAUCUAACCACCAAAAGAUGCAAGAGAACCCCCCAAAAAACAGAUUUGAUAAAUUCAAGAGCUAACUUUGUUGAAUGUUUUAGCAAAAUGAAUAUCCACCAAACUUAUAACCUGUGAAAGUUCUAAACAAUACCAUUAUGGAAACAAGCUUAACUAAAACUCUAACAUCUUUCUUAACUUGACAAAAAAUUUCUUUCAUAUAGAAGAAGAUUGUAUUCUGCAUUCAAACUCCGUAAAGAGUGUCAUAGCUUUCUUAGUUUUGUAGUGAAAUUAAAUAUAAACUUGUAUAAUAUGAUAGGCUCCUUAUUCUUUUUUUCCCCCAGAAUAUAGCUAAUAUUUGUUCUCAACUAGUGAAAAUGCAAAUCUGCAAAUCUAAAAUUAAAUAUACCUGUUAUUAGCAAACAGAGACGACAAGCUCCGAGCAAUCUGGAUUAUAUAUUCAACAAAUCAAAGUAAAAUUAAUAAAGGGGUGUAAAGGAAAAUUCCAAAUUUGUGUAAAAAAAUCAAUGGAAGGUAAUUUAAAACAUUAUAUUAUGUUUUGUGGUAUAUACUCAAAAAAAAAAUACAACAAUUCUUUACAUAUGUUUGCUUGUAAAAAGUAUGCAACAUGUAUUACAGUAUAAGAGUUUUUAGGUAACUAAAAUGAUUUAAUAUAAUCAAAGGUGAGACAAAUUUUAUUCAAAUUAAUUAAUCCAAAAAGUAUAUAUUAUUGCAUUAAAAAGAGUUUUUGCGAAAAAAAUAAACUCAUCCACAAUGGUGGAAUAUUUACGUACUACCAACUAAAUUGAAUAGACAUCAAAAAUAAAAAGAAAAUAAAAAGAUAGACAUAAUCAAAUAUAAUUGUCCAAAAAGAAGACAAAACAGCAGAGAAAGCAGAGGCAGAUACUAAAUUAGAAAUGCUUUUAGUUCAUUUGAUUGUUAGAUGUUGAUCAAUUUUAGAUGCAAAAUCAUCAUACUUAUUUACCAUCAUAAAAUUUAAUUGCCAAAAAAGUAACAUAAAAUAAAACAAAACAUAAAGUAGAUGUUGUAACUAAAAAUUCCAGUAUGAUGCACACUCAAAAUGCAAACUUUAAUUAUUAAAGAAACUUACAUUUCUUUCAACGAAACUUUGUUUUGGUAAUCGCAUCUUUUCCAUUCGACCCAAAAACCCUCUAAUAGUUUUUUGUAGAUAUCCAGCGUAGACAUGCCUAUUAUAUUAUCAACCAUAAUUGGAACCGCCGCUUCGAUAGUGCAAGCUUGAUUGAUAUAAGAUAGCUGGGUGUUUCCAUUUAAAAAAUAGAAAUGGGAAGUUGGCAGGGAAGAGGAGGUAUUGGAUUUGAUGGUACAACGAGAAGCCUCAAUAUAAAGUGACGAUUUUAUAGGUUUCGUGCAAUUCAUAACAUAAAUAAUGCUAUAAUCUAACCUUUUAUAACCAGAAAGAAAAUAAUUAUUAUUAUAAAAAAAAAAUUAUUAUUAUUUUUAUUAAUACCAUUAUAAGAAAAAUAAUCUACAGAAGUAAGAGGAAGGGAGUUGCAAUCAUCCGUGUCUAAACUCGCAUCGACCAUUCGUAUUGUAGAAUUUUCGUAAAAGAUUUGUUGGACAGAGAAUUUCCCUCCUCUCCCAACCAAAGUGGUGCGAUUAUUGUUCUCACACUCAAGUUCCAUGACAGGAGAACCACAGUGGGGAGGUUGGUUUUUUAAUCGGAAUGGAAAACUGAUAUUCAAAUUCCCACAGAAAGUAUAGCCGCAGUCUUGGUUAAUAAGACUCCUAGCAAAACAAACAGCAGGAAAUAGAACUACAAAUAAAGCAAAAGAGGGCAUUAGGUGACCCAACAAUGGCAGUUUUGCUUUUAAUUUUGGCAUGCUAAAAUUUUGGGUAGGGAAGAAGAACAACAAUGAGGGUUAACGAUUAAGUUUCUAACUAAACCAGGGAAAUAUAUAAGAAAGCUUCAGUGGGAGAACAAGCAUUAAUGGGGACAGAAGACUUUGACUAGUCUUCAGCUUUAUUUGGGAUGACUAUUUUAUUUUCAAUAAAUUGUUUACACCUUUUAUUCUUUUAUCUUUUUUCUGGGAAACACCUCAAUCAAAGCACAUCUAAUUCCAAGAAUAGAGCCAUGGUUAUCACAAGCAAAAAAAGGAAUUUUAAUAUUAUUCAAAAAAUUUUAAAUAAAUUUGGACCAUAUACUUGUAGAUCAACCGUUAUCACCUAAAUAAAUUCCAAUUACAAUGAGGAGGACCAAGACAAUGCAAGUCUUAAGUCUUCUUUGAAACACAAAAACAUCACUGCAAAAUAGACUUUUAGCGGCAUUUUUUAGGCCUAUAGCGGCGCUUUUAGGCGUCGCUGGAAAUAGAGCGUCGCUAAAACUAUUUCCGGCGCUUUCACAAGCACCACAAAAAUGCCGCUAUAAACAUCGCCGCUAAAUUUUGCGGCGUUUAUAUGAAAAAACGCCGCUAUAGAACAUGAUCUUUAACGACGCUUUUAUCACAAACGCCGCUAAAGAACAUGGCCUUUAGCAGCGUUUUUAUCACAAACACCGCUAAAGGUAAUAAUCUUUAGUGGCACUUUUAUCACAAACGCCGCUAAAAUAAUAUGAUCUUUAGCGGCGCUUUACCCACAAACGCCACUAAAGAUCAUUACCUUUAGCGGCGCUUUUAUAAAAAACGCCACUAGCUUUUAAAAAUAUUAAAUAUUAAAAAUCACACAUUAUUAAUAUUACAAAUUAAUUAGUAUUGGAUAUAUACUUCUAGUCAAAAAGAUGGUAUUUAAUCAUAUAAUAAAUUAAUAUUUUUUAGUCAAAAUAUUGAAAAAUCAUGUUAAUAUUUAAAUAGCAAAAUUACAAGUUCAAAUAGUGCAACUAAUUGAUUGGAAAAAAAAUGCACAAGUUCAAAAUGUGCAGUAAUAAACUUAAAAAUUUAUAGGCUAAAAUGGAAAUUACCUUUUGAAAUUAGACUAAAAUAGGUUUACUACAUUCACUAUUUACUACAUGGGUUUAUUGCUUCUAUAAACUCCAAUUAGGCAUUGAAACAGGGGUGUUUAUAUAUUACAAAAAAGCAUGAAAAAAUAGGAGUCCAUCUCCACACCUCAGAAACCAGGGCAAAUGCAUACCCCAACAUUGCCCUCGUAUUCAGCAUCCAUCUCCAGCUGCUUCGACGAAUACGGAACGAGAAUACAUGUUGCAAGUUCCGUAUUCUAAUGCAGUGGGUAGCUUGAUGUAUGCAAUGGUGUGUACAAGACCCGACAUUUCACAGGCAGUUAGUAUAGUGAGCAGGUAUAUGCAUAAUCCUGGAAAAGGACAUUGGCAAGCUGUGAAAUGGAUUCUACGGUAUAUUCAGAAGACCGUGGAUGUUGGAUUACUGUUCAAGCAGGAUAAUACACUUGGUAAAGGUGUUAUUGGGUACGUUGAUUCUGACUAUGCCGGUGAUUUGGACAAGCGAAGAUCAACCACCGGUUAUGUGUUUACACUUGCUGGAGGACCAAUAAGUUGGAAGUCUACACUACAGUCUACAGUUGCAUUGUCAACCACAGAAGCCGAGUACAUGGCUGUAACAGAGGCUGUAAAGGAGGCUGUUUGGUUAUAAGGUAUGGCUAAAACCUUGGGGUUGGUUCAGGAGCAUAUUAACGUGUAUUGUGAUAGUCAAAGUGCUAUUCAUUUAGCAAAGAAUCAAGUCUAUCAUGCACGUACAAAACAUAUCGACGUACGAUUCCAUUUUGUGCGAGAAAUUAUUGAAGAGGGGAAAAUUUGUCUUCAGAAGAUCAAGACUGCAGAUAAUCCCGCAGAUAUGAUGACCAAGGUGGUAACAGCAACCAAGUUCGAACAUUGUUUGAACUUGAUUAAUAUCCUGCAAGUUUAACAGUUGAAGAAGGCACUAUCAAGUAUUGUGGCUAGGAAAGACUUGGUAUUUAAGUGAUCUUCGUGAUCUACCUCUCUUUCCUGGGAAUUGAACUUAGUGUGAUUUUUCAGUACAAUAAUUUUACUCUUUCACACGCUUCCGCGCAACACACAAUCUUGGUUAAUAAGUUGCCUAGCAAGACAAACACCAGGGAAUAGAAUUACAAAUAAAGCAAAAUGGGGCAUUAGGUGGCCCAACAAUGGCAGUUUUGCUUUUAAUUUGGGCAUGCUAAAAUUUUGGGUAGGGAAGAAGAACAACAAUGAGGGUUAACGAUUAAGUUUCUAACUAAACCAGGGAAAUAUAUAAGAAAGCUUCAAUGGGAGAAGAAGCAUUAAUGGGGACAGAAGACUUUGACUACUCUUCAGCUUUAUUUGGGAUGAAUAUUUCAUUUUCAAUAAAUUGUUUACACCUUUUAUUCUUUUAUCUUUUUUCUGGGAAACACCUUAAUCAAAGCACAUCUAAUUCCAAGAACAGAGCCGCGGUUAUCUCAAGCAAAAGAAAAAGAAGAUUUUAAUAUUAUUCAAAAAUUUUAAAUAAAUUUGGACCAUAUACUUGUAGAUCAACCUUUAUCACCUUAAUAAAUUCCAAUUACAAUGAGGAACAAGACAAUGCAAGUCUUAAGUCUUCUUUGAAACACAAAAACAUUUAAGUGGCUGAGAGCAACAACUGUUAUUGCUUUGGUCCUUUUGUGUUAAGUAAGACAACAGUUUGUUGGAUAUUUCUAAAAAGCAAGUUCAUAGUUAGAACUGUCAAGCAAGGCGACUCAAUGCCCAAUUGUAUAGAUUUUUUUUUCUUCCACGAAUAAUACUUAACCACUUUUCAAAUAAUUUUAUUAAUAUAAUUACAUGUUUUUAUCCAUUCGACUGUGAUACUCGAACUUGACAACUAGUUAUAUUUUGGUUCCUAAACUUAAAAAAUAUGAAAGUUUUAUGAUGCAACUCUCUAAUAUUGUGCUACAUCAUCACUUGAAAAUUAAAAAAAAAAUUAUAUAAAUUUUUAGAGAAUGGCAUGAUACAAUCUCUAAGUGUCACGUUCAUUAUUUUAAUAAUCAAGUUGAUGAUUGAACCAGUCAGACCACUAUUACUCGAUUCAAUUAGUUUGAUCAGUUCGACUGCUAGACCAACAAUAAUUAAAUAAAUCAUUAAACAUUCAUAAAAUUCUAAAAAGGUAGAAAACAAAAUUUAUUAAACUGAUUAAACAUGGUCAACAGCUGGGGUUUUUUUAAAAUUUUUUUAAUUUUUACCAAUUUCAAGUAAUUUUUAUAUUUAAUUGAUUCAACAUCUUUGUUCAAACUAUUAUACCGAUCGAUUCUCGGUCCAAUCAAUCUAACCAUCCAAUCCACUCCUAUACUAGUAACACUAAUCAUAUUAUCAAAUCUUGAUGGAAUUCAAGUUUAAGUUUAAGGGACUAUAGUAGACUUAGCUGCCAAGUUUAGAUAUCAAAGUGGACCAAAAUUUUCGCUUAUUUUAAAGAGAUCUUAUUUUUCUAAAAGUUUUUACUCUUUUUUUUAAUUACUAUAUAAUUUGUACUAAUUAUUUAAAACAUGUGUUAAAUCAUUUUUAACCAUACUCAAAACCAUUUUUUUAAUCAAAUAUAAGUACUUAAUAUUUAAUUAAAUUAAAAAGAUCAAAGAGAUAAAUUUCAAAAUUAUAUAUGAACUUUAAUUUAAUGUACUGCAAUUGUAUAUAUGAAUUUUAAUUUGGUGCAAUUAUACACUUGUAACUCUAAUUGUGGUUCAAAUAUAUACUUUAAACUUUAUAUAUACAAUUACACAUUAAACCAUAGUGUAUGUAUACAUAAUUCAUAAGUUGUACAUAAGAAGUAAGUUUUGGUUAGUGUAAUAUAACUGUGAUUCAAGAUUACGCAUUCAUUUCAGACAAAGCACACCCUUUGAAAUUCAAGUUUUGAUUCUGAUUCUUUCUUCUUCUUUUUUUAAUAAAACCUCUAUGAAAGAAUUUUUUUUUUAAUUCCUUAACGGUAGUGAUUUUGGGUUAUGGAGAAAAAAGGAGUGAAAAGUUGUGAUUUAUGUGGAAGUAGGGAUUUUUCUGUUUUAAUAGUUUUAGAAAUGGAUUUGAUGGAGAUUUCAAUAAUGCUUCAUGUUGGAUUAGUUUUGUUGCUACUUUGGAUGCUUUCUCAAUUCAAUCUUUGCCAUCCACUUCCUUAUUUCCUGUCUCUCAUCUACCUCUAUUUGGCAAUUCAUUCAUCUUCUGCUGAGAAUAAAAAAUGAAACUUUUUUUCUUUAUUUUUGAGCUUGGAUAUUGAACUUUUUUUUUAUUGUUUUUGUUACAGAAAUUCCUUUUAUUUCUUUGUUCAUCAAAGGUUCAUGAAAUGUAUGUGACGAGAUUGAGGAAGAAAUUGGAGUUGGAGGAAAUAAUGCACAAAGAAACUAGACAUGUCAACAACAAAACAAUAAUGCCAACAUUCUCAAAAGCAACAACAAAAAUGUUUUAAAAAAGGAAAUAGACAUCACACUUAGAGUAUAGAAAUACUUGGAUUGUAACCAUGAAAAACGAAAUAAGAUAUCCAACAUCCUCAUCACAAUGGAUUCUCCUCUGAUUCAUUACUAGCCUCUGCAAUGUAAUAACACGAUUAAAAGUUAUUGUAGCAGUAACUCUUAUAAAUAUUAAAAAACUAACUUGUAAAUACAUCGAUCAUGUCUAAAUCUAAUCUAAGUCAAGGUUGAUCUAAACAUGAAAAUUCUAACAAAUUCAUCUCAAUUCAGUCCAACUAAACCUAAACUAAAUUGACACAAAAAUCUAUUUAUAUAAUUUACUUUUAAUUUAUAUAUAACUUUACUUAUGAUUUAAAUUUAUACAUUUAAUAUUGAACAAAUAGUCAAAUUAAAAAAUUUUGGUAAUUAUGAACAAUAACUUAAGACAUAGGUAAUUAAAGAAAAUACUAAUAUAUAUUUAUAUUUAUAUAUAAGGCAAAAUAAUAUAAAGCUAAAAAGUGAGAUAAUGAAGUAAAAUGUUUCUAACCUUAUGCAAUAUUUGAAUUCGCUAUAGUAACACUAUCCAAUGGUGUACUUGGCUCGUUAUUAGAGUUCUCACAAUUAUGAACCUCCAUUGAUGUUUCAAGAGGAAGUUGAUGGAAUGGCUUAGGAGUUCAACAUCAGAUUCAAGUAUCUUCAAGAUUUUACUCAUUGAAGGGCAAUUAUUAUCUUCUUCACCGUUACUUUUUCAUCGUCAGAAAUAUCUCCGAACUCCAAGUCCUCUCCUUGAUCCAAUCGGUCAUAAAUCCAAGAUGGAAAAUAUAUUUGACUAGUGCGGUCAGCAAAUGCAUUCACAUUCUUUCUCCUUCCAACUAUUUCUAUCAAUACAUUCCAAAACUAUAAACAUCGGCUUUGUAUGAGAUGCCUCAAUAUAAAGUGAUAAUUUUAUAAAUUUCGUGCAAUUCAUAACAUAAAUAAUGCUAACCUCUAACCUUCCAUCAUAAUAAUUACCAUAAGGAUAAAUAUAAGAAUAAGAAUCUACAGAAGUAAUUAAGAGGAAGGGAGUUGCAAUCAUCCGUGUCCAACAAUCAACCCCUCCCAUAGUAGGCUGUCGAGGAGCCUCCUGCACAUCAUAAAUAGCACGAGUUGUACGCCCCAAAGCAUUUGCCAAGGACCAUCAAGACGAAGGUCAAUAACAUUUGUGUAAAUUUGGAGUGCUACCUUACAGCCAAAACUAACAGAAUAGUGACUGCUGUUUGGAUUGAAAUGUCAAAUGAGUCAGUUCGGAGUCGGAUACAAGCAAAGUAGCAUUCGAAGCAUCCGUUGCGCAUCAUAGGGGAUAGAAGACCUUGAGUUACAUGAUUUCAUUUUGAGUAUUGAAAAUUGAAAAUAGGAUAACUACCAACCACUAAUAUAUUAUCAGCAAAAUCUCCCAAUUGAAAGAACAAAAGAUGCAUCUAUACUAUGUUUAAAAGUUUAAUAGAGUUUAUGGUUAUCUAUCAAUGAGGUAUCAACUCAAUUGUAAAAUCAUUAAAAUCUUAUUAUUUUUAAAAACAAAAAAUAUUAUUUUGAAGGUAUUUUUAUUUUUAAUUAAACUUUAUAAAAUACAUCAAUUUAAUAGAAUUUGAACCCAAAACAUCAUAAUCCUUAUUACCUAAAUUUUACCAUAUUAAACAAAGCCACAUUUAGCUUUUAUAUCAUUUUUUAAAUAAGCUUGUUAUAUCAUUUUUUUUCACCCAUGUGAGGGUGCCAUAAUCUAAUAUAUCUUUAUUUAAUAAGUAAUAAUCCCAUAUGCAUUAGAGAGUAUUAAGUUGAGUUAUUAAAUUUAGGGUUUGUUAUAUUCUAACGAGUUAUUUUCAAUUCCAUUGAAAUGAUUUAUAGGUGAUAAAUUUUACAAUUUAAUACGAUUAAUUUUAUUAUAUUACAAUGAAAAACAAAAGAAAAAGAAGAAUUUAAUAUGGUUCAAAGUUUUUAAAUAAAUCUGGACCAGACAAACCUUUACCAUUAAUCUAUUCCAACUUCAAUGAGAACGACCACGACGAUGCAAGUCUCAAGUCCUGUUUGAAACGCAAAAGCUUUCAAGUGGUUGAGAGCAGCAAGCCCGAUCCCUUUUGUCCGUUUGUGUUAUGUAAGUCAAUUGUAGAGAACGAUUGUUGGAUAAUUCUAAACGCAAGUUAAUAGUUAGAAUCCUUGAGCAACGCACAUUCCGCCCCAACCCAUGCAUAACGUUAGACGAGACUCAAUGACUAAUUGUAUAUAUUUUUAAUUUUGUUCAACAACUACAUAAGUAUAUUUUUAAAUGAUUGUUAAUAUAAUUACAUGUAUUUUCAUCUAUUUUAUAUGAAUUUAAAAUAUUACAAAUUAAAUAUAAUAUAAGAUACAAGUUCUAUUCAAUUAAAUUUAAAUUUAAAUUCAAAAUUUAAAUUAUCCAACAAUAUAAAUAGUAGACAUAAAUUCAAAGAAAAAAAUUUAGGGUUUAGCUGGAAGAUUACCUCUCAAAUUCGACUAAAAUAAAUAAACAGAAUUUAACUCGGAGAUUACCUCUCAAAUUUAACUGAAAUAUGAAACAUACUCAAUAAUAAAGGUAACAAUUCAAAGGUAUGAAGCUACAUAAAUUCUUAGUUAUGUCUUUGAAAUAUUUUCAUAAAGGCAUGUGCAAAAACUUUUUGAUUCUAAACAAAUUCAUUGUCUCAAUAUUACUUAUUUAAAAUCAAAUCCACGUUUAUUUUUAAACAACUUCCAACAAUGUAUUUGGCUUGUAAUACCCAAUUUUAGCUCGGGCUCACAUAUGGAAACAUAAUCUUCAAGGAUAUGUAAUCUUAGAUAUGAUAUGUGCAAUCUUGGAUAUGAUAUGUGCAAUCUUGGAUAUGAUAUGCAAUCUUAGAAGAUAUGAUUUUGUAAUAUUAGAGAUUUAAUUUGUAGAUACCCUUUAAUCUUAGCCGUUGAUGUAAUUGGUCUGUACCGUUGGAUUUGGGGAGGCUCAACUAUAAAUAGAGGCCUCUCCCUUUAUUGUAAAGGGGGGAGAAAAAACAAUAAAAAAGGGAGAACGAUUGGCAGUUUUUUAAAGGUGACUUACUGUUUUUUUUUCAAUUAUUUAUUUAUGAUUUUAAAAAAGGAAGAAGGUGAUACCACUACGAAUUUUAUUUAUUUAUUUUUAUUUAGCCCUAAUAAAGUGACGCGUUUCAAAGGAUGGGAAUAUUUUUCCAUUCGAGGCCUAUGAGUUAUUCGCGCCUUUUAAUUGGGCCCUACAUUUUUUUCCCUUUAAUUAUGUUUUUGUUGCAAUUUAAUCCCUUUUGUAUUUGUGCUUUUACUAAUUAAUUGAUUAUUAUUAUUAUUUAUUAAUCCUAUUAUUAUUUCUACUAUUAUUGUUAUUAUUAUUUUCAUUAUUUCUUCUUAUCAAUUUACUUAAAUUUCAUGCGCAUAGCUUUAUCUUACUUUGUAUUUUAAUUUAUAUUACUAUUAUAUGUCAUUAUUUAAUUUUAUAAUAUAUUUUUCCUAUUCCUUUUAUAUAUUUGCCUCCAAAUAUGGUAUAUCUUCAACGAUUUUGGUUUUAUUUUUUAUUCAUUUAAAUAUAUUUCUAUAUUUUAAUAGAUUUAUAUAAUAAUAUUUUUUUACAAUACCAUGCUUUGUAUAUAUACAUGAUUGAUAUUAAAUUAUUCUUGUUAUAAAUUAUAGAUUUCAUUUUCGUCUUAUUACCAUAUAUAACUUUCCUCUUAAAAAACUAUUUUAUUAUAUUUUACCUAUUUUAUUGUAUUUCGUUUACUUCAAAUUCUUUUUACAUAUAUUAUUGUAUAUUAUUAUAAAGUCUUCUACUUUUCUAAAUAUACGUAUUUUACAUAUAUCACUUUUUUUCCCUAUUUAUUGCCAAUAUGGUGCAAGAUUGUUGUACUUGUUAUUGCGACAUUAUUACACACAUUCAGUAUCACAUUACAUCAUCUUCUUAUUCAAAUUUAAAAAAAAUAGGAAUUUUAAAAAUUGAGAUAAUGCUCGUAUUUAGGAUUUUCAAGGAAAUUGAGCCCUAACGUACAUUGGGUUUCGAUUUUUUUUGUUAAAUCUAACGAUCGAGAGUUGCUCAUUAAUCAUAAAAAAAAUAAAAUGAAAAGCUUGUUGUCGGGAAUUUAAUAUGUUGUGUCCUAACGUAUUGGAUGUGAUGUAUUUUUUUCUCGAUACAAAGAUUUUUUUUUAAAUAAUAACAAAGGAAGUAUUCCAAGUUUAGGAUUUUGAGAAAUUGUGCCCUAACGUAUUGGCCCGCGAUUUCUUAAAUCUUAAACAAAUGAAUAUUCUUUUAAAUUUUAUCGCUCGAGUAUUUUGGCCUAAUUCAUUUUUGAGGGAUUAGAAUGUCGUGCCCUAACGCAUUGGGUGUGACAUUUUUUUUCCUCCGAAAUGAUAAGAGUCUUAAUAAGUAACGUUUUUAAGUUUUUGCUAAGGAUUAUAUUUUUCAAAAUUUUUGACAUUAAGACACUAAUUAAUUAACUAGGUACCAAUUUUAGGCGUUACGAGGGUGUUAAUCCUUCCUCGUACGUAACCGACUCCCGGAUCCAUUUUUCUAAAACUCGUAGACCAAAUCUAUUUUUUUAGGUGAUCCAAUCACACCUCAAUAAAAUAUUGGUGGCAACUCCCAAUUUUUUGUUUUUUAAAAGUCGACAAAUAAAUUUUUGUUUUUCAAAAAAAUGGUUUCGACAUGGCUCAUCCAACAAAUUAUUUUUAAACAACAUUUAUUUAAAAAGAACCAAAUGAGAAUCAUUAUACAACUUUAUAAAGUCGAUGACACAUCCAACAUUUAAAGCACAAAGAAACUAGAUAGGCCAACAACAACAAAAAUAAUACCAACAUUCUCAAAUAUCGCAACAAAUUUGUUCUAAAAACAAAAGAUAGCGCAUCUCACCUAGAGCGUAGAAAUACUUAGAUUCAAUCAUUGUAACAACGAAAAAGGAAACAAGACAUCUAACAUCCUCAUCACAAUUGAUUCUCCUCUGACCCUCCAACAGCGUCUGCAUUAAUGCAAUAAAACAAGAAGAGGCUAUUGUGAUAGCAACUCUUAUAAAUAUUCCAAAAUUAACUUUUAGAUGCAUCAGGUCUUAAUCUAAGGCAAAGGGUUUAUCCAAACAUGAAAAAUCUAACCAACUCAAUUCAAUUCAACCCAACCUCAACCUAUCUAUGUACUUUACUUUUAAUUUAUAUGUAAUUUCAAUUAUGGUUUAAUUUAAAUAUUUUUUAACAAAAAUUUUAAAUACUUAAUAUUGAACAAAUAGCGAUAUUAAUGAAAAUUUGUAAUUAUGAACAAUAACUUAACACAUAGGUAGGUAAAAGUGUUUUUUUUUUACUUAAUAAUAUUAUUAGCAUUAGUACGUUAUUAAUUGUAUAUGAAAAUAGUGAAGCUUAAAAGUUAAAUUUUAAAGGUAAUGUCAUUGUCAAAUUUACUCAAAAUUUAUUUUUAACUAUAGUUAUCUAUGUACAUAUGUGACACACAUAAUAAGAUGCUAAUAUAUAUGUAAGGCACACUACACCAAAACAGGUUUUUAGCGGCAUUUUUUUAUGCCUUUAGCGGCGCUUUUUAGCGUUGCUAAAAGUAUUUGUGGCGUUUUUGGAAGCGCCGCAAAAAAUGCCGCUGUUCUCAACGCCGCAAACGUUUGUGGCUUUUUUAUAAAUAAACGCCGCUAUAGAUUAAGACCUUUAGCGGCGCUUUUUCAACAAACGCCGUUAUAGAUCAGGAUCUUUAGCGGCGCUUUUUUACAAACGCCGCUAUAGCUCAAGACCUUUAGCGGCGCUUUUUCAAAAAACGCUGCUAUAGAUUACGACCUUUAGCGGCGUUUUUUUCACAAACGCCGCUAUAGCUCAAGACCUUUAGCGACGCUUCUCGCAAAAACGCCACUAAAAACAUAACAUUUAAAAAAAGUAUUUUAAUCAAAUAAUAUUUAUUUUUAUGAUAAAUAUUAUAUUAUGUUUUAUUUUUUAAAUUUGAACUUUAAAUAUACUUUUAAGGAUAAAAAGUAUUAUUUAAUAGAAAAUUUUAACUUUAAAACUAAAUAUAAAAAUUAAUGAAUUUAGUUUUAGAAUUUAAAAUAAUAAAUUAAUAACACAAUUAAAAUCCAAAAGUUAGAACUCAAGUUGUCGUAAAUAUUAAAGUAAUAUUUACACAUUGCAAGGUAAUAAAAAAUACAAUGCAUUUUCUUAAUCAAGUAAAUCUUGGUAAUAAAAAAUACAAUGCAAACUACAUCUGCUACAUUCCUGGUUAUCCAAUCUUCAUGUACCCUGCAGAAUUGGGAAAAUAAUUAUAGUGCAUUAAAACAAAAAUUGAUAUUGACAAGUUAAAUGUGAAAGGAAAACAACAUGAAUGCAAAAAUUAAUACUCGAGGAAAUUGACAACUUAGCUAUCUCAACCAUGGAAAUGAAUUAGAUAUUGAAUAAGAGAGAUUACAGCAAUGAAACCAAUGAAUUCCUAGUUUACAUAUGUAUGUGCCACUGGACUUGUUAAGUGAAGAAUGAGAACCAAAUUUUUUUCAAUGACUACAGGACAUAAGACCAAGAGCAUCAAAAGUUUCCAAACAUGAAACAACUAAUCUAUUAAGCAAGUCAGAAAAUCAACGAGCUUAUUGUUUUAGCUAAUAGUGGAACAAGGAGACAAUUGAGAUCAAUUGAGACUAACCUCGGCUGAGAUGCAGAAGUUUCACGACAAUCAGAAAAGAUCACCUUGAUAUACUUAUAAUCUUCGCACCAUAAAUAAUCAAAGUAAUAAUCAUCGAUAUUAUUCACCUUGUUGCCUAACCUCACAUAAUAAUCAAAAUAAAUUUUAAAACCGCUCAAAAAUUUUAAAUAGAUUACAUCAACAUAUAUUGAGCAUAGCAACCUUCUAAAGAGAAAAUCAAACAAAUCAACUAAACGAACAUAGAAAAAUUGAUGCUUCAAACCAAAACACCAGAAUUUACUUUACCUCCAUCCCAUGGGGUGUCAUCAAGUCUGCAAAUCCAUCAAGUAAAGACAUUAGCACAAUUUAAUAGAACUUUAAUCUAAAAAGAAAGUACAUAAAGAUUCUCUAGUCUUAUUUCAUAAUAUACCCAAAUAUAACAGCAUUCCAAAGCAUAAUGUUGUUAUCUUGAGGUGCACCACUAAUUCCUGCACAAAAUAAAUGAUAAAAAAGGCCACAGUUCUUUAGCAUAAACAGCAAACAAAUUAGAUGAAAACCGGACUUCUACAACUAAACCGAGUUGUAGUAACAGUAUCCAAACGCCGCUAAAAGCCUGUUUUGGUGUAGUGGCAAAAUAUUAUAAAGUUAAACAGUGAGAUAAUGAAGUGAAAUGUCUCUAACCUUAUGCAAUUUUGAACUUGUUAUAGUAACAGUAUCCAAUGAUGCACUUGGCUUAUCAUUAGAGUUCUCAUAGCUAUGAACCUCCAUUGAUGUUUCAAGAGGAAGUUGAUGGAAUGGCUUAGGAGACAUCACAAGGAGUUCAACAUCAGAUUCAAGCAUCUUCAAAACUUUACUCAUUGAAGGACGAUCAGAAGGCAGUAAUUGUAUACACCAAAAGGCUAUUAUUACCAUUUUCUUUACCAUUGCUUUUUCAUCGUCAGAAACAUCUCCCAACUCCAAG
rnacentral:lncRNA from 1 species